AAGUACAGGUCUUAACAACA
rnacentral:misc_RNA from 1 species